rnacentral:rRNA from 1 species
GACGAACGCUGGCGGCGUGCUUAACACAUGCAAGUCGAACGGAAAGGCCCCUUUGGGGGUACUCGAGUGGCGCACGGGGGCGUAACACGUGAGUAACCUUCCCUUGACUUCGUGAUAACUUCAGGAAACUGGGGCUAAUUCCGGAUAGGAAUCCUUGCUGCAUGGUGGGGGUUGGAAAGCUUCGGCGGUUUUGGAUGGACUCGCGGCUUAUUAGCUUGUUGGUGGGGUAGUGGCUUACCAAGGCUUGGACGGGUAGCGGGCCUGAGGGGGUGACCGGCCACAUAGAGACCGAGGGAAGGCACAGGUGCCGAAGGGAGGAAGAAGGGGGGAAGACUGAACAAGCGGCGGAGGGCGGGUGAAGAAGGGCCGCGGGCUGGAUGACGGCUUUCGGGGGGUAGAACGGUAGCAGGAGGAGAGAAGGCUGUGGUGACGGUACCUGCAGAAGAAGCACCGGCUAACUACGUG